GAACAGUGUGGGUGGGUCCCGCUAUUUCUCAGGGAACGGCAGUGCUCGUAGAGCAGUAGUGGUUCGUCACUGUUCAUAGGGGCGAUGGGCAGGCGAUGAUUAUGAUUUUUAUCGUCCACACAGUCUCCUUUCUAGGCGUGACUCUGUGAAGAGUUGUGACUUCUGUAGGGGUAGGUUUUGUAGGUUCUGUCCAUGCCUUUGCCUGACAACGAUAGGAUAACUGUUUUAUCUGUGUCAGGACAGUAAACUGGAACAAGAACUACUA
rnacentral:lncRNA from 1 species